UGAAGCUUUGCAAGUGAAGCUUUGAAGCUAGAGCUCUGUAAAUGAAGCUUUUGAAGCUAGAGCUCUGUAAAUGAAGUUUUUAAAGCUAGAGCUUUUGUAGAUGAAGUUUUUGAAGCUAGAGCUCUGUAAAUGAAGCUUUUAAAGCUAGAGCUUUUGUAAAUGAAGCUUUUGAAGCUAGAGCUCUGUAAAUGAAGCUUUUGAAGCUAGAGCUUUGUAAAUGAAGCUUUUGAAGUUGAUUGACAUGAGUGAUGCUCAUGAAUGUUUAUGUUGAUUGACAUGAGUGAUGCUCAUGGAUGUUGACAUGAGUGAUGCUCAUAAAAGUUGACAUGAGUGAUGCUCAUGAAUGUUUAUGUAUGAUUGAUAUGAGUAAUGCUCAUGAAUGUUUAUGUAUGAUUGACAUGAGUAAUGCUCAUGUAUAAUUUGAAGUACUUGGCGUACUUUCGAUCACCUGGUUGGUGAUAAUAGCGGCAGGCUGCUGGAUAGUUUGGAGUACUGGGCGUACUUUUUGAUUACCUGGUUGGCGAUAAUAGUGGCGGGGGUGCCGAAUAAUUUUUUUGUAGUACUGGGGGUACUUUUGGUCACCUGGUUGGUUCUAUUUUGGGCUUAUGGGCCUUUGCCCUCCACACAACAUUUCAGCCCAUUUAUUUUGGGCUUUGCCGUUUUUUUUUAUUAUUUAUUAUUACCCUCUGAUGGGGUUUAUACAGAUGUCUCCGAAAGAUAAGAAAAAUAAAUCACAUCAUACAAAAACAAGGAAAGUAAAUCAUAUCAUUCUAGUGUGGUGUUUAUUCCUUGCUUUUGCUUUCUCUUUUGCUUUUUUUUUCUGCUUUUUUUUUCCACUGCACUCU
rnacentral:lncRNA from 1 species